CCCUUAGAUGUCCUGGGCUGCACGCGCGCUACACUGGAAGUUACGGAUUGAGAUACUACCUUGUCCGAAAUGGUCCGGGUAAUCACCUAAAAGCUUGUCAUAAUUGGAAUGGAUUAUUGUAACUAGUAAUCCUGAACGAGGAAUUCCUAGUAAGUCCCAGUCAACAGCUGGUACUGAUUACGUCCCUGCCCUUUGCACACACCGCCCGUCGCUACUACUGAUUGGACGUUUAAGCAAGAUUUUUAAACACUGACAGUGUGUAGUUCACGCUAUACUACAGUGAGAAGAAGAAGAUCGAGCUUACUUGUCUAGAGGAAGUAAAAGUCGUAACA
rnacentral:rRNA from 1 species